rnacentral:rRNA from 1 species
GACGGAGGAUGCAAGUGUUAUCCGGAGUUACUGGGCGUAAAGCGCACGCAGGCGGUCUCUUAAGUUUGGAGUGACAGUUGGUGGCUUAACUGCCAAAGUGCUUCGAAAACUGAGAGACUUGAGGGCUUCAGAGGGACACGGAAUUCCGGGUGGAGUGGUGAAAUGCGUAGAGAUCCGGAGGAACACCAAAGGCGAAGGCAGUGUCCUGGGGAGUACCUGACGCUCAGGUGCGAAAGCCAGGGGAGCGAACGGG